GGUAACACACAGACACAGUCUUCAGUCCAGACCUUUGCCUUACAUUGUGUGGCGGUGAAGGAGAGUGAUGGGAGCCACCUGGGUGUCAUGGAGAGCAACUAUCGCUGUCAUCAUUACUGUACUACAGAACCAAGGUCUGAUCAGUGCCAAACCUCCAGUUCGUACUGGAGUGGAAGGUGAUACUUUUGAAUUCAAGUGUGACUAUCCAGACUUCCAGCAGAACAAUUCAAAGUACUUCAGACACAUUGAUGGUAAUGAGUCCUCCAGUCACCUGAUACACACAAAAAAGCACAACCAGUGGGCGAGACAAGGGCGCUUCUCCCUCUACGAUAACACCACUGCAGCCUACUUCACUGUCCACAUGGAUAAGCUGACUUCAGAUGACAGCGGCAUGUACUGCUGCGGCGUGGAUGUAAGCCCACUGGAUCACAUCAGCUGCAUAAACCUGAACGUUUCCAAAGAUCUCAACAUGACGCUGUUCCUGACUGCAGCGACGUGUGUGGUGGCGAUACUGUUUGUGUGUCUGUUUUCCUUCAGCCUUCUGCUAGCUGUGAAGCAGAGACGAUCCAGUCCACCCCGCAACAGAGAGGUAUCCUCUGACUACGAGACCAUGAUGCCGGGUAUAGGAACUGAACCUAAGCUGCAUUGCAGCUGUUCCGCUUUAGACUGCACUGACCUCUCAUCUUUAUCGCCGCCUCCUCUACCACCAGCUAACCUCUGCCCUCAUAGCACAUCAAAGCAUCGCCAUUCUGCUGUCUCUCUGGGCCUUGGUGAUUACGUUGAUGUGGAUGUACCUGGCCACAUCUGCCUAUAUCAGCAUCUUGAUCUUGGCCAGUUGGAGGGGCAUGUCUACUACAGCCUUCAUGGGAACAGUGGUCCUAAAAAUGCACAGGCUAAAGUGCAGAAUAACUGUGGAUGUGACAAGAUACAUUUGAGUUAAUUACAAACUUAUAGACUUGUAAUGUCUCACAAAUGUAGUCUACUGUAAAUAUGCUGUAAAUGCUCAAGAUUUAGCAAACCUCAAUUAUUGUUUAGUAUGUGUGAAG
rnacentral:lncRNA from 1 species